rnacentral:lncRNA from 1 species
UGAUUCACUGAUUCCCUCUUUCCGCAGAAAACACAUCCUGUGUUUGUAGUUAUCCGUUUCAUUUCCAAGCUGGAUCCAAGAGGUAGCGCACCUCUAACGGCCUUCCAAAGAAACACUCUAAUUUUUGGUGGUAAUGGUAAGGUCCAGAUAUCAGUGAUCCAGUUACAGUGGGCUUGGUUUGUUGUUGUCGGCUCUGCAGAGUAGGUGAUGUUCAAGGCUGUGUAAUAACCUGACUUCGUUGAGUAGUCCCCAUUCGAUGUUAAGGUCCAGCUAUAUGUGUCAGAUGCUCCGGUUGUACUUGGUUUGAUGCACAAUAUAUCAGGAGCUUCGUGUGGCAGUAUUUGUUGGAUAAGUUCUUUAUUCCACUCCUUUGUUCUGGGACAGAACAGGUCUGCUACCUUGAGGUCCUUUGAAGAGAGUUCAGGCGAUCCCAUGGGUCUGAUAACUGCAUCUGUCAAGCAACAAGCUUCACGCCAGACCUUUGUAUCUUCGCCAUUACCUAUGGUUAGUGUUCACUCGGAUCACAUUUCUACCACAUAGGAUACUCCUCCAUCCAUGGGAACAGGAGUUUGAUGCUUCAACAUCUAGGAAACCAUUAGUCUUGCAGUACUCACUGAGGAAGACUCGAGCAAGUAGGCAUUCUGGUUUCUUAUCGAAUAUUUUCCAUCAAAACCAUAAAAUCAUUGUUUUCCCGUCAAAAUCACAAAAUCAAUUUUUCACCAGUCACACUCAUAUAUUUCUACCAAAACCGUAAAAUCAUGUUUCUCUAGACAAACUACAAUUUUUAGUUUUCCCGUCAAAAUCACAAUCAUGUUUCUAGCCAAAUUUGCAAACUCAUGUUUUAUUGCAAAAUCGAUUUUUUUUUUGUUUUUCCACCAACAAUCGCCAAAAUCAUAAAAUUAUGAUUUCCAGUUAAAAGCACAAAUUUGGGUGUUUCCAACAGAAACUCUAAUAUAUUACUUUCCCGCUAAAACUGAUGAAACAUAUUUUCCAUCAAACUGCAAAAAUUGCACUUUUCCGCUAAAACCAUCGUGUUUUCCACCAAAAAAAUAAAUUGUAAUUUUCAUCGAAAAAACAUUGUAAUUUGGUGGUAAUGGUAAGGUCCAGAUAUCAGUGAUCCAGUUACAGUGGGCUUGGUUUGUUGUUGUCGGCUCUGCAGAGUAGGUGAUGUUCAAGGCUGUGUAAUAACCUGACUUCGUUGAGUAGUCCCCAUUCGAUGUUAAGGUCCAGCUAUAUGUGUCAGAUGCUCCGGUUGUACUUGGUUUGAUGCACAAUAUAUCAGGAGCUUCGUGUGGAAGUAUUUGUUGGAUAAGUU